rnacentral:lncRNA from 1 species
UGCCAGACGUAGAGCAACGUCGAAGGCUCAAAACUGAAGGUCAACAUGUCACCUUUGAGGAUUGGAUGUUCCAUUUGUUCACAGGCAAGAUGGCCAAAUGGGCUUAUAUUGGUCCGAUCCAUCACGACUAAUUUUUGUUUGGCCCGUGGAUUGGCCCGAUACAUAAUGCUCGUCUUUUUUUGUCGAUAAAUCCCGAUUGCAGAUUCCUGCAGCUCUUCCAUAUACAAAGUCAGACUAAUGGAUGCAGUAAAAAAAAAAUUCAGACUGAAGACACCAAACACAACGUGCAAGUAUUCCAUACUUUUGACAAUUUUCUGUCCGAACCAUCCAGGCCUGCUCUGAAUCACGACAAGAAUAGAUUCUUACUAGAAAAAACAAAAAGGAAAAAGUACUCAGAAUCACAUCUCGAAGAGGUUAACAAUAAAUCAAGGGUUAAUUGGAUCUAUGGCACUAUCUAUUUCACCGGUUAGAGAUAUGCCAUUACAAAAACUUGACUUAGAGAAAUGCCACUCUAGUUUUCCUAUACCUAUAUCAAUGCCAUUCUGUCCACUUAAGACCAAUAAGUGUUCAUAAAAUACAUGUAUUUCAGCAUAACAUUAUUUACCAUAAUACCGUUAUUUACAACGUUCAAUGGUAUGUUCGAGUCUUCCAGGCGCCAUAAAGGUUAAAAAAUAAUAAUUCAAAUUUGGCCCAAAAUUCAAUCUUCUCAGAAAAAUCUAUAAAACUACAGAAAAUAAAAAACAGUAAUAUGAGUCCACCCUUAGGGACGGGAUAUGAGAAACGCGUGGGGAAUAAGAAGAAUAAAAUUGUUUGACUUAGGAUGGGAAAAAAUUAUUUGUAUAGAGCUAUGUCUAUACGUAUCUAGACAGUAUGUGUGCUGGUAUUGGACAAAAUGGCAUGAAUAGAGGUAUAAAAAAGUUGAGUGGCAUUUCUCCAAGUCAAGUUUUUUUAAUGGCAUAUUUUCAACCGGUGGAAUAGAGAGUGGCAUAGAUCCAAUUAACCCAUAAAUCAAAUGGAGUGCCCAAUCGUCGCCGGUGUGGCAAUGUGGGAAAUCAAGUCGGCGUACGCGAUCGGACUGAGACCCAGCACCUUAGCGAGAGGAAAGGCAUGGCGUGUAUCCACCGUUCAUUUCAAUCUGAAGGCCAACGACAAUUCAAGCUCAUGAGCGCCUGUGUAACUAGUCAACGAACGCAGACAGGGG